rnacentral:rRNA from 1 species
CGAACGCUGGCGGCGUGCCUAAGCUUAUGCAAGUCGAACGCGAACGGCUCCUUCGGGAGCCUAGUAGAGUGGCAAACGGGUGAGUAACGCGUGGGUAACGUACCCUGAUCCUGGGAAUAACCCUCGGAAACGAGGGCUAAUACCGAAUGUGGCGAACGACCGGUUGGUCGCUCGCUAAAGGUGGCCUCUUCUAUGCUGCCGGGUUGGGAUCGGCCCGCGUCCCAUUAGCUAGUUGGUGAGGUAACGGCUCACCAAGGCCACGAUGGGUAGCCGGCCUGAGAGGGUGUACGGCCACACUGGCACUGAGACAAGGGCCAGUCCCCUAUGGGAGGCGCAGGCGGGAAUAGUUCACAAUGGGCGAAAGCCUGAUGACGCGACGCCGCGUGAGCGAAGAAGACCUUCGGGUUGUAAAGCUCUGUCAGGAGGGAAGAAGGCUCUACGGGUUAAUAGCCCGUGGAAUUGACGGUACCUCCAGAGGAAGCCCCGGCUAAAUACGUGCCAGCAGCCGCGGUAAUACGUAUGGGGCAAGCGUUGUCCGGAUUUACUGGGCGUAAAGGGCGCGUAGGCGGUUUGUUAAGUCGAAGGUGAAAUCCUCGGGCUCAACUCGAGAAUUGCCUUCGAUACUGGCAAACUAGAGUGGCGGAGAGGAAAGCGGAACUCUUGGUGUAACGGUGGAAUGUGUAGAUAUCAAGAGGAACACCGGUGGCGAAGGCGGCUUUCUGGACGCACACUGACGCUCAGGCGCGAAAGCGUGGGUAGCAAACCAGGAUUAGAUACCCUGGUAGUCCACGCCAUAAACGAUGGGUACUAGUUGUCGGGGGUAUCGACCCCUCCGGUGCCGCAGUUAACGCACUAAGUACCCCGCCUGGGGAUUAUGGUCGCAAGGCUGAAACUCAAAGGAAUUGACGGGGCCCCGCACAAGCGGUGGAGCAUGUGG